ACACGACUCUCGGCAAAGGAUAUAUAGGCUCUCGCAUCGAUGAAGAAAGUAGCAAAAUGCGAUACUUGGUGUGAAUUGCAGAAUCCCGUGAAUCAUCGAGUUUUUGAACGCAAGUUGCGCCCGAAGCCAUCCGGCCGAGGGCACGCCCGCCUGGGGGUCACGCAUAUCGUCGCCACCCCCUCUUCCCCCUCUUC
rnacentral:rRNA from 1 species